rnacentral:rRNA from 1 species
UACGUAGGGGGCAAGCGUUGUCCGGAAUCAUUGGGCGUAAAGCGCGUGUAGGCGGCCCGGUAAGUCCGCUGUGAAAGUCGGGGGCUCAACCCUCGAAUGCCGGUGGAUACUGUCGGGCUAGAGUGCGGAAGAGGCGAGUGGAAUUCCUGGUGUAGCGGUGAAAUGCGCAGAUAUCAGGAGGAACACCAAUUGCGAAGGCAGCUCGCUGGGACGUGACUGACGCUGAGACGCGAAAGCCAGGGGAGCAAACAGG